ensembl:lncRNA
CUGGACUGGUUUACAUACAACAUUCUUCAUUUAGGAAUAGGUAAAGACCUCCUUUUUCAGCAGUCAGCAGAUCAAGACCUCGGCUGUUCUGGAGGACAACUGUGGCUAGGGAACUUACCUGAGCUUGAAGAAGGGAUAGCGAUUGAGUUAAUUCUGCAGUGGUAGCAGAGACAUCAUUAGAGUGGCUACAGAAGGUGAGGAUUGAAGUGGUAAGGCCUGCUAUGCCUGUGCCGAUACCGUAGAAAUUCCUAGCCCUACAAGUAAGGGGAUCAACGGAAUGACCCACUUGUAUUGUGUUGGGACCACAAGGGGAACAAGGAGGCUUUUGUCUCUGUUGGCAAACUGAAUUUUGGCAGUAAGGAAAAGUAGGGUAAAAGCGUCUGUCCAGUUGGUGGGAAGGCAGAUGUAAGAAGAAGAACCACAGAGGAAAAGAGUCUGUGGCUUAGACAGAACUGCAAAUGUAAACUGAAAAGGUUACGAAAGGAGAGAGCAACCACAUUUGUCAAAGAGAUUUUUUUAUGCCAUGGGCCAGUAUGAUCGUCACAGCAGGCAACAUACCUGGAGUUUCACUCUUGUUACCCAGGCUGGAGUGCAAUGGUACGAUCUCGGCUCACCACAACUUCCGCCUCCUAGGUUCAAGCAAUUCUCCUGCCUCAGCCUCCUAAGUAGCUGGGAUGUCCUCCUGUAUCUCAAAAGAACAUGUGGUAUGUACCAUCAGGUACACACACCUGGAGAUUAUCAGUCUAGCAAAAGUAAUCAACAUCCACAUAGGAGGGAAAAGCAAAUCAACAAUACCAGAAAUGGAAUUUAUCCAUCAUCAGUCCCAGAUCUCUGAGGUGGUUUGACUUUGGCAGCCAAUUUUUGCCCUGAAAUAAGGUUGAAGUGGUGGAAAGUAACAGACCGAUUGUCAUUUGUCGUUUUGUUAUGGUGGCCUCCAGAAGUUGACUUGGGACUGCAGCAACCUGGCACUUGGAUUUUGUGCUCUGCAACUUGUAAUUUACCAUGAUACUUGAACACACACAGAGGUAAUAAUGGGAGUAGAACCCAAAAUUAAAUAAGUAAACAAGCCAAAGAAGAUUUGGGAAGAUUUUUUUCUGUCUCUUUCACAGAAAAUCACAUGCCCAGUAUCAUCAUGUAAGAAAUGAAAUAUUUUAUUCAUUGAAUAUAAUGAAGGCAAAAUGAUAGAAUCUUUCUAAAAAAUAUAUGACUAUCGUAUAUUUUACCCUGAACCACUGACCAAUUGUUAAGGACCUCUAAAGUAAAGAGCAACUGAAUCUAGUUUUAUGUUUUGAUUUGUUUGCUUGCAAGGUUGUUCAGAGUGAAAGAGAAAUGUUAGAUGUUUCGCUGUGCUUCUAAAUCCAAGAACAUGUUAGUGGUUAAAAAAAAAAAAAGACCAAUUAUAAACUGUAGUUGUGUUGGGGAUUACUUUCAACUUAAGCCAAAAAGAGAGAGAUAAAGGCAUACGCCAUUCAUAUCCUAUUUUUAAAAAAGAACAUCCUAUAAAUUUAAAAUAUAUCCUCUAAAGGAUGUUAAUUUUUUAGACUUGAGGUGAUUUUCACUGACAGAGAAUGCAAGUGGAGCAGAUUUUGGAUAGUUGAAAAAAAUAAUGUAUUUUCAGAAGUACAUUAUUUAGCAUAAAUGCUCUAUGAGCAUUUAUGAAACACAGGUAUGUGAGUCACCAGCACAUCGAUGGCAGUUUUGGCUUAGAAAAUUUAAUUCUGCCACCUUCGUACUUAGUUCAAGCUAUAUCUUAUGUCCUCUCCAAACUAGAUGCACUAACAUUUGAGACCUUUUAUUUUGCUACUUACUCUUGCUCAAUUGGAUUCUUAUCACCAAAUUAAUGAAAGCUUUUUUAUGAAUUCCUAAGGUCACUACAAACAGAAGGAAGUAGUCAUUGUUAAGUUUCUUAAGAGAAUCUUAGCAUUUGACUCAGUGGAGCUUGUAAAACUGAC